rnacentral:misc_RNA from 1 species
CCUGCACCUACCACUCUUAAUUCACCUAUCCAGCUGAUCAUUUUGAACCACAAGCUCUUGGUGAUAUUACAUUCAAAGAAAAGCUGAUUCAUUGUUGCAUUACGUGUGUCACAAAUAAUACAGGAUAUGAUGGUUGACUGAUAUCUCAUUUUUCUGCAGUCUUUCUACUUUUGAAAGUUUACUACAACUGCUGCUUAUAACAUAGCUCGUCUUGGGGGUGGAGUAAAGACAAAGUACAUGAGAGGUGGAACUUCUUCUAAGGCUGAAUUACUGUCUGAGCUAUGUCCAACUAAAGAGAAAUACAAAUCUUUGAAUG